UUUACAUCGAUCUACCKGUGGAAAACUACAUCGAUUUUUUAAAUCACGCCCUCUUUCAUCGAGGGAAAUAGGAGAGGAGUUUACUCUCUUCCACUGGCACGGUGCUCUGAGCAACGACUAUUUUCCGAGCAUCACGGCGCUCUGAGUUCGAAGCAUCCACCAAUAGCCAUUUGAGGAGUCCGAUCCAUUAGCCUCUAAGAUCUGAGGAGUUCGAUCGAAACGUCUGAACAUCAGCGUUUAAGCCUCCGACUGGUGAGAGAACAACGAACCUCUUCUGUCUGUGUUUAAGUCUUGAAAUAUACACAACAGAGAUUAGAGAGAACGACGAACCUCUUCUGUGAACCCAGUGCUGGUGAGAGAACAACGAACCUCUUCUGUGAAGACUUUCUCGUACUACCUGAAAUUAUUUUUAGAAAAUCGUGCCACAUCGAAGCCACGUCAGAUAUUUUCAGAAUGGCAAAAAACACAUUGGUGUAUGGUGAUUAACGUGGCUCAACACAGCAGAGAAUAUUUUUUUCUUUCUCAAAACAUUUUCAGGUAUGGUGGUCAAUAUGGCUCUGACAUUGCACUGUUUUAUAAGAAAACGACAAUGAAACCAAAAACACCAUUAUGCAUUGUUGCUUUCCCAAAAA